rnacentral:lncRNA from 1 species
CUCAGUCCCUGGUCCCUGGAGAGGGGAUCUGGGUCUCUCUGCAUCCAGUGGGAGAGCCUGAAUAGACCUGCAGGAGAGACAAAUCUCGGACUGCUGAAUUUCUCCACUCUCAUGGCAUUGCCCAUCAAGAGGGAUUGCAGUUCUGAACAUGAUGGAUCAGAUGCAAUAUGAGGUGCUUCAUGUCUGCAGGCCUGUCCCAGGCUCUGGAGACCUUAUAGAGGAUGCUGCUGAAUUCCCUAGCUUGGCUUAUGGAGGAGCAAAAAGAUUCAGUUGAUUUCUAACCUCAUGUUUAGCCACCUGUUAUCAAAGCCUGCCCUGAGAGAUGUUCAUCUCCCAAUGUCUAUGUAGGGCCCAGGCGGCUGCAAUCGAAAUGACAGGUCAGCUCAGAGGUUAGGUUGCUGGCUGAGUGGCUAUUGUUUUCCCAGUUUCAAUUUCAUUGUCAUGACAACCCACACAAGUCAUUGUCCCGGCUGAUGCCUCUGUGUGAGGGUGUGUGAGGAACGCGUUUCGUCCCAGCUCGCUCUGCUUGACGGACGAAGAGCCAUCACUGAUCUCAGGUGGCUGCUCCUUUCUUUCCUCCAUGUGUUCACAGUGUUCUUAUUUUCUCCACCACUUACCCAGAAAUUGUUUUUGAAAAGUGUCUCAUUUCAACUGAAUUUGGCGCAGAGCAAUUGGGAACAUUGCUCGGCUGGGAUUUGCUCUCUCUCCUCAGCAGUUUUGCAGGCCGUAUCUCACUCCUGUGGGCUUCCAGAACUGCUGGGACCCCUGGCUGAGAUCAAGAGGGGCAGUAGAUGGGAACCUGCCUGUUUCACACUCGGAUCAUCCAAGGGAAGACACGAACGUUCUGCACACACAACAUGGUGUAAGCGCAACACGUGCCUUAACGUGUCUUCCAAGCUGUGUGGGACCCCCUCCUUGAAAAUUUCAAGAGACAGAUGGCUGGUGUUUCUGUUGUGCUCCAUGGCUCUGAGAAAUCCUGUGUCUGUGUAGGGCUGUGGAGAUGCCAGCUCUGGAUGGUAACAUCGGUGAGCCUGGAAGGCUUUACCUUGGAAGCAUGGGGCCUGUGUCUAUUGAACUCCUCUUUUGGGUCCUCCAGCACUUGAUGACUCUGAGAACACAUGCUCCUUUACUUCAGGAGGCAGCCUCAAAAGUGGACUGUCCUUCUUCAUUUUGGCACGGUGGUGAUUCCAUCGGGAGGGGCUUUGGGCCAGGUUUGUCCUGCUGUGGAGGCCCACAGGCAGGUCAAGCACUGAGAAACCCUGCCUGGCCUGGCAAGCCUUCUUCUCCUGAGGAUGGCUUCUCCUGUGGCUACAGGAUCAUCUAUGUUGGUCAAACAGAUGGCUAAGUGGCCUGAAAUAAUGGUACAAGACGUUUUUAAAAGAUAUUGGGAUUGCUUUGACUGAAAGAGAGGAUGUGAGGGACUGGAGUGUCAUUAAGAGUCUCAAAAUCAAGGAAGGUUUUUAUGGAGACAGGUUGAGCACUGCUGUGGGAAAUGCUGGGGUGUGACAGGUGGGUCACUGCCGUGGGAAAUGCCGAGGUGAGGCAGGUGGACCACAGCCGUGGGAAAUGCCGAGGUGAGG